rnacentral:rRNA from 1 species
AUUGAACGCUGGCGGCAGGCCUAACACAUGCAAGUCAAGCGGAUGAAGGGAGCUUGCUCCCUGAUUUAGCGGCGGACGGGUGAGUAAUGCCUAGGAAUCUGCCUGGUAGUGGGGGACAACGUUUCGAAAGGAACGCUAAUACCGCAUACGUCCUACGGGAGAAAGUGGGGGAUCUUCGGACCUCACGCUAUCAGAUGAGCCUAGGUCGGAUUAGCUAGUUGGUGAGGUAAAGGCUCACCAAGGCGACGAUCCGUAACUGGUCUGAGAGGAUGAUCAGUCACACUGGAACUGAGACACGGUCCAGACUCCUACGGGAGGCAGCAGUGGGGAAUAUUGGACAAUGGGCGAAAGCCUGAUCCAGCCAUGCCGCGUGUGUGAAGAAGGUCUUCGGAUUGUAAAGCACUUUAAGUUGGGAGGAAGGGCAGUAAGUUAAUACCUUGCUGUUUUGACGUUACCGACAGAAUAAGCACCGGCUAACCUCGUGCCAGCCGCCGCAGUAA